GACGAACGCUGGCGGCGUGCUUAACACAUGCAAGUCGAACGGAAAGGCCCCUUUGGGGGUACUCGAGUGGCGAACGGGUGCGUAACACGUGAGUAACCUGCCCUUGACUUCGGGAUAACUUCAGGAAACUGGGGCUAAUACCGGAUAGGAAUCCUUGCUGCAUGGUGGGGGUUGGAAAGCUUCGGCGGUUUUGGAUGGACUCGCGGCUUAUCAGCUUGUUGGUGGGGUAGUGGCUUACCAAGGCUUUGACGGGUAGCCGGCCUGAGAGGGCGACCGGCCACAUUGGGACUGAGAUACGGCCCAGACUCCUACGGGAGGCAGCAGUGGGGAAUAUUGCACAAUGGGCGGAAGCCGGAUGCAGCAACACCGCGUGCGGGAUGACGGCCUUCGGGUUGUAAACCGCUUUCAGCAGGGGCGAAGCUUGUGGUGACGGUACCUGCAGAAGAAGCACCGGCUAACUACGUG
rnacentral:rRNA from 1 species